rnacentral:rRNA from 1 species
UACGUAGGGUGCAAGCGUUAUCCGGAAUUAUUGGGCGUAAAGAGCUCGUAGGCGGUUUGUCGCGUCUGCUGUGAAAACUGGAGGCUCAACCUCCAGCCUGCAGUGGGUACGGGCAGACUAGAGUGCGGUAGGGGGAGAUUGGAAUUCCUGGUGUAGCGGUGGAAUGCGCAGAUAUCAGGAGGAACACCGAUGGCGAAGGCAGCUCGCUGGGACGGUACUGACGCUGAGGCGCGAAAGCGUGGGGAGCAAACAGG